CAUGGUUCAUUAGCCCAGUCCAGAGUUGGAGUGGAAGGACUCAGGCAUGCCUGGGUGUGUUUGUGCAUCCUAGUUUCUCUGGCAGUUUGGUGACUCUCACAGAAGUGUAAUUGUGAGCAAAGUUUUAUUCCAGUGGAUGCAGCACGUAGAAAGAAGUUCACCUUCAGUUAGAGAGGAUCUUAAUAUGACCUUCCGUAAAAAAGGGGCAUUGUUUUGAGUUGUUAAACAGCUGCUGUGUUCCACCCCACUAAUGGUUGCAAUUCAGGAGUGAAUAAUAUAAGCCUUAGAUAAACAGCUGGUAAAAUAAUUGGGAUCUUUCCUGGCAGGGGGAAGCAGGCAAGUUACUCAACAAAAAGAAAUUAUUAUUCUCACUGCCUAGGAAAUGAAGUGCUCUCCUUUUCAUCAUCAAGUGGGCUGUCAGACAAAAUCUCUCCCCGCCCUUCUGGAAGCAACCCAUACCACUUGUAGUGCUCUCUUGCCAUCUUCACUCUCUUAGGAAGCAAGAGACCAUUUUAGUUUGGAUUAAUUUAUCUUCUCUCUUUUACCUUCUGACCUUUGUCUCCUUCUCUACCCCAUCCCUGGUCUUAAAAAUUACCCUUCCAACUGCCCUUCUGCUGUUCUGUAGGGCAACAAACACUGUCUCCUUUCUCGUGGCAGCUGUGACAUGAGUGCAAGAGAAGCAGAAGCUUCCCCCAGCCGCUCCCUCCUGCCCAACUCGGCGUGUCCACUCGGUACACGCUGUGUCUGCUGGGCUGGGGCAGGACUGCAGAGCACCGGGCCUUGGGUCUUGGCCUCCAUCGGAUGAACAAUUUCCCGUUGAAGGUUACUCACUUCCUGUUUUCCGUAUUUAGACAAUCUGGGCCUAUUGGGAGCUUUGAUUUGUUGUAAACUUCAGCUGUUUUAAACGUUAAGUCGCGGGAGACUGAGGCUAAUUUCCAAGGGGAGAUGCCUCACCACAAAAUCUCCCUCUCUGCCCUGCCACAGUUGGUACUGAUUUGACUGUCUCUGCAGAGAAGCCAAGGAUCAAAUGCUCCAUGGCGCCAGACUGUUUUCUUUUGCAGCCUGCAGGAACUGCUGAAGCCUCUGCUCAGAGAAGCACGCUCCUCCGGGCGCUGGGGGAUGCACCACCCCUCCUGACAGCCUGAUGGAUUAUGGCCCCAGUUCUGUCAGCAGAUCCAACCAAACCAGCAAACCGACAGCACAGAGGCAGCCCCCAGGUAAGCCACCAUCACAAUCUGAAUGGGAUGUGUACUGUGCAACCAAAGCAAACAGCUUGAUUAUUCCUGUUUUAAAGAGAUGUUGCUAGUUCUCCUUUCUCAGUUAUUCAAGCAUAGAAGGAGAGAGGCUGAGUUUAGUUAUCCCGUUUUAAACCUGCCUGAAAAAGAACAUGUUUCUUUUUAAAUGAAGCUUGCACAGUAUGCUAUAAACUGCCUUCUUUUUUUUCUUUUUUUUUUUUUUUUAAUGGGUGUUUGCACUAAGCCUUGCUGAACAAGUUAGAGAGAUUAUUAACUCAUCUGAAAUGAUGCAGGAAGGCCUUGUCCCAGUUGUGUGUUCUUCCUUCAGCACAUGGAGAGCUGCUGCAACUCCGUGGUAUUCACAAGCAGGACUUGCAACCAGGGCUGGGCAAAAGACUGCAGGGGGAAAGAGAAGCACUGCUAGAAAGAGCUGGGAUUUACACACACACACACAGAAAAAGGAACCAAGGUUAUUUUUUUUUCUUAAUGAGUAGAG